rnacentral:rRNA from 1 species
GGGGGGGGGGGGGGGGGGGGGGGGGGGGGGGGGGGCGAACGGCAGCGCGGGGAGGGGUGGGUCGUGGGGGGGGGGAGGGGCGGGCGGGGGAUGAGUACGUCGGAAUCUACUUUUGCGUGGGGGAGCAGCACGGGAAACUUACGCUGGUAGCGCAUCCUCCCUACGGGGUGAAGAUGGGGAUCUUCGUAUCGUGUGCGAGUGAGUGAGGCGAUGCCGGAUUAGCUAGUUGUAGGGGUAAAGGCUCCCCAAGGCGACGAUCCGUAGCCGGUGUGAGGGGAUGAGCAGCCACACUGGAAGUGAGACACGGUACAGACUCCUACGGGAGGCCACAGUGGGGAAUAUUGGCCACUGGGCGCAAGCCUGAUCCAGCCAUACCGCGUGGGUGAAGAAGGCCUUCGGGUUGUAAAGCCCUUUUGUGGGGAAAGAAAAGCAGCAGUUUAAUACCCCGCUGUUGUGACGGUACCCAAAGAAUAAGCACCGGCUAACUUCGUG